CUGCCCCAGGUGAAGAGCGUGGAAGAGGAAGCCGUCAUCUGGUCCCGGAGCGGCUCUCGGAGGAGGUGCGAAUGCGCGUUCCACGGGCAGUGUUGCCGGGUCCCUACGCGCGGCCCGUGAGACUUACCGAGACAGAGCAGUGGGAGCAGCUUGGGGAUCAUGGCACCGCACGGGCCUGUCCAGAGCCGCCUCUUCGGCCACGCAGCCCGUGGCAGGCAGCGGAGCGGGGACGGCGCGGCCCCCUGGCUCCAGAGAGUGGGCAGAGUUGGGUUUUCUCUGACUGCUCAGUUCCUCCUUCCCCAGCAGCGUCCUGGAAACUCGUCAGGGCCGCUGAUUGCAACAUGUUCCUCACACGCCCAGCUUCGAAGACUUGACUCACGGAAGUCCCGGUCCUCGUGCGUCUCAGGUUUCAGACACGUGGCCCUCCUUUCCCACACUCACCCCUCCGCCGCCUCCGCUGGGCGUGCUUGCAGACGAGGAGGGCUCCCAGCAGGGUGAGGAGGGAGCAGACCACUGCGAGGAUGACUCCUGUGGCACCUGGGAGAGGAGAGCGUCCCCCUGCCUGUGUGUCCCCUGUGUGUCCCCGUCGAUCGCAUCACGGCCCACCUGGCGCCCUCACGCUCACAGGUGUGCGCCAGACCCACAGGGUGACGCCCAUGUCCCGGAUGCAGAGGCCGGCCGUCCAAGACCUGAAGCACCCUUCCCAAGGGGGCCCAGCCAGCGAGUAGGUGGGCUGCGCCCUGAUCCUUCCCACAGCGUUCAGGCAUCAUUGCGAGACAGACAGACAGACGAAGACUUUCCCGGGUGUGGGCAGCUCGCGGG